rnacentral:rRNA from 1 species
AACGAACGCUGGCGGCAGGCCUAACACAUGCAAGUCGAGCGCCCUCGCGAGGGGGAGCGGCGGACGGGUGAGUAACGCGUGGGAACGUGCCUCUUGCUACGGAAUAGCCUCGGGAAACUGGGAGUAAUACCGUAUGUGCCCGACGUGGGAAAGAUUUAUCGGCAAGAGAACGGCUCGCGUUGGAUUAGGUAGUGGGUGGGGUAAUGGCCUACCAAGCCGACGAUCCAUAGCUGGUUUGAGAGGAUGAUCAGCCACACUGGGACUGAGACACGGCCCAGACUCCUACGGGAGGCAGCAGUGGGGAAUCUUAGACAAUGGGCGCAAGCCUGAUCUAGCCAUGCCGCGUGAGCGAUGAAGGCCUUAGGGUUGUAAAGCUCUUUCGUGGGGGAAGAUAAUGACUGUACCCCAAGAAGAAGCCCCGGCUAACUCCGUGCCAGCAGCCGCCGUAAAAC